rnacentral:rRNA from 1 species
ACGCUGGCGGCAUGCUUUACACAUGCAAGUCGGACGGCAGCACAGAGAAGCUUGCUUCUUGGGUGGCGAGUGGCGAACGGGUGAGUAAUAUAUCGGAACGUACCGAGUAAUGGGGGAUAACUAAUCGAAAGAUUAGCUAAUACCGCAUAUUCUCUGAGGAGGAAAGCAGGGGACCUUCGGGCCUUGCGUUAUUCGAGCGGCCGAUAUCUGAUUAGCUAGUUGGUGGGGUAAAGGCCUACCAAGGCGACGAUCAGUAGCGGGUCUGAGAGGAUGAUCCGCCACACUGGGACUGAGACACGGCCCAGACUCCUACGGGAGGCAGCAGUGGGGAAUUUUGGACAAUGGGCGCAAGCCUGAUCCAGCCAUGCCGCGUGUCUGAAGAAGGCCUUCGGGUUGUAAAGGACUUUUGUCAGGGAAGAAAAGGCUGUUGCUAAUACCGACAGCUGAUGACGGUACCUGAAGAAUAAGCACCGGCUAACUACGUGCCAGCAGCCGCGGUAAUACGUAGGGUGCGAGCGUUAAUCGGAAUUACUGGGCGUAAAGCGAGCGCAGACGGUUACUUAAGCAGGAUGUGAAAUCCCCGGGCUCAACCUGGGAACUGCGUUCUGAACUGGGUGACUAGAGUGUGUCAGAGGGAGGUAGAAUUCCACGUGUAGCAGUGAAAUGCGUAGAGAUGUGGAGGAAUACCGAUGGCGAAGGCAGUCUCCUGGGAUAACACUGACGUUCAUGCUCGAAAGCGUGGGUAGCAAACAGGAUUAGAUACCCUGGUAGUCCACGCCCUAAACGAUGUCAAUUAGCUGUUGGGCAACUUGAUUGCUUAGUAGCGUAGCUAACGCGUGAAAUUGACCGCCUGGGGAGUACGGUCGCAAGAUUAAAACUCAAAGGAAUUGACGGGGACCCGCACAA